GAUGAACGCUGGCGGCGUGCCUAAUACAUGCAAGUCGAGCGAACAGACGAGGAUCUUGCUCCUCUGACGUUAGCGGCGGACGGGUAAGUAACACGUGGAUAACCUUCCUAUAAGACUUGGAUACCUUCAAGAAACCGGAGUUAAUACCAGAUAAUAUAUUGAACCGCAUGGUUCUAGAGAGAAAGACGGUUUUGCGGUCACUUAUCGAUGGAUCCGCGCCUCAGUAGCGGAUUGGUAAGGUAACGGCUUACCAAGGAAACGGUGGGUAACCGACGUCAGAGGGGGUAGGGCAACACUGGAACUGAGACGCGGUCCAGAGUCCUAGGGGCGGCCGCAGCAGGGAAUCUACGGAAAUGUGGGGAAGCUUGAAGGAGCAACGGCGGGUGGGUGAUGAAGGUCUUCGGAUCGUAAAACUCUGUUAUGAGGGAAGACCAAAUGUGUAAGUAACUAUGCACGGUUUGACGGUACCUAAUCAGAAAGCCACGGCUAACUACGUG
rnacentral:rRNA from 1 species